rnacentral:rRNA from 1 species
AACGCGAAGAACCUUACCUGGGCUCGAAAUGGAGUGGACCGGAGUAGAAAUAUUCCUUCCCCGCAAGGGGCCGCUCUAUAGGUGCUGCAUGGCUGUCGUCAGCUCGUGUCGUGAGAUGUUGGGUUAAGUCCCGCAACGAGCGCAACCCUUAUUACCAGUUGCCAUCAUUAAGUUGGGCACUCAGGUGAGACCGCCUCGGAUAACGGGGAGGAAGGCGGGGAUGACGUCAAGUCCUCAUGGCCUUUAUGUCCAGGGCUACACACGUGCUACAAUGGCCGGUACAAACCGUCGCAAACCCGUGAGGGGGAGCUAAUCGGAAAAAGCCGGCCUCAGUUCGGAUUGGAGUCUGCAACUCGACUCCAUGAAGCUGGAAUCGCUAGUAAUCGCGGAUCAGAACGCCGCGGUGAAUACGUUCCCGGGCCUUGUA